ACUGCUAUCGGAUUGAUACUAAGCCAUGCGAGUCAUUGUAGUAAUACAAGGCAGACGGCUCAGUAACGCGUAGUCAACCUACCCUAUGGACGGGAAUAACCUCGGGAAACUGAGUAUAAUGCCCGAUAGAACACUAUACCUGGAAUGGUUUGUGUUCCAAAUGAAUGUCGCCGUAGGAUGGGACUGCGGCCUAUCAGUUUGUUGGUGAGGUAAUGGCCCACCAAGACUAUUACAGGUACGGGCUCUGAGAGGAGUAGCCCGGAGAUGGGUACUGAGACACGGACCCAGGCCCUAUGGGGCGCAGCAGGCGAGAAAACUUUGCAAUGUGCGAAAGCACGACAAGGUUAAUCCGAGUGGUUUGUGCUAAACGAACCUUUUGACAGUCCCAGAAACACUGUUGAAUAAGGGGUGGGCAAGUUCUGGUGUCAGCCGCCGCGGUAAGACCAGCACCUCAAGUGGUCAGGAUGAUUAUUGAGCCUAAAGCAUCCGUAGCCGGCUCUAUAAGUUUUCGGUUAAAUCUAUACGCUCAACGUAUAGGCUGCCGGGAAUACUGUAGAGCUAGGGAGUGGGAGAGGUAGACGGUACUCGGUAGGAAGGGGUAAAAUCCUUUGAUCUAUUGAUGACCACCUGUGGCGAAGGCGGUCUACCAGAACACGUCCGACGGUGAGGGAUGAAAGCUGGGGGAGCAAACCGGAUUAGAUACCCGGGUAGUCCCAGCUGUAAACUAUGCAAACUCAGUGAUGCAUUGGCUUGUGGCCAAUGCAGUGCUGCAGGGAAGCCGUUAAGUUUGCCGCCUGGGAAGUACGUACGCAAGUAUGAAACUUAAAGGAAUUGGCGGGGGAGCACCACAAGGGGUGAAG
rnacentral:rRNA from 1 species